rnacentral:lncRNA from 1 species
UACAAGUACCCUAUUAUACUGUUAAUAACAUAACAAUAUAAUUAUUACCCAUAAACAUUAAUUACUAAACUCCAAACACUAUUGUUAUAUACUCUAAGCACCGUCAUUAUAACCUAAAUCCUAAACCCUAAUCCUUCCGUGUGUGUAUACUAAUACAUUGACAAUAUAUUGGUGUACUCCAGAGCGGAGGACUCAAAGCAUUACUCCAAUUCAAUUUGGCUACAUCGAUCUAUUCCUAUCUGGU